UUCUAACUUAUUAUAAAGUUCUAAUGCAAACAUUUCCAGAUUUAGUAGAUCUCUGAUCUUGGGCCCCCUCUAAAAUUAUGGCUGCCUUCCUCCUGCAACUGUUAAUUCUAAAUUCUUGUUUGUAUGUAGUCAUGACAAGGAGGAAAAAUCCUUUGCCCACUGUAUCAGCAAGGUCGAAAAGAAUCGCUCUUUCUGUAAUCAAAGCCACUCAGUUAAGCUCAGAGGGACCCAAAUGUGCAUGUUGAAGAGACACCUCCGUCAGUCACUGGAAAGCUGAAGUUAGACAGCAAAGCAAGACUGCCGUCGAGACCCGUGAAGCUGCACCAGCAACACUGUCUUCACAUUUACAGGAAUAGAAUGACUGGUACACACAC
rnacentral:lncRNA from 1 species